CCAGCGCCGGUUACAGAGUGCGGCCAGCCCACGCCAGUGCGCUAAGUGCCAGAGCGCCCGGACCACGCGGCAACCCUGGUCUGGCCAAGAGGCAGAGCCUAGCCGGGCUCCCCAGAGCUGCCUGGGACUGGGGAGAAGAACACAACGCCGCAUCUGUUCUGCUUAGCAAGAGGCUUAUGGAGCGAUGCUUCUUAGAACCUGCUGAAAUUCAGGAACAGAAGCAGUUUUGAAGGCCACAAAGGUCUUGUAGGCCUACUUUCAUCAGCAGAUUAGUGUAGUAAGACUAAAGCAGUAGUGAAUGAUCAUAGCAUCAUCCAAAUACCAGAGCUUUUCAAGGUCAGGAGGCCCUUUGAGAGAUUCAGGGAAGAAGUCAGUUUUAAAGGAUUCAGAUGUCAGGCAAAUCCUACUAUGUCCCUUCCCCAGUUCUUACUCUCCAUAGUACCAUGCAGCUUUGCAAAGGUACACACUGGGUGCACAGUUCAUCUCUUUAAGAGCAAACCAAGGAUUCCAUACCUAAGCAAUCUGCUUAUUUCCAAUUACUAUAAACAUAUGCAUCUAUUGUUA